UUCUUUUCCUCUCACCAAACGGAAUAUAAAGGUCGCCCUCUUACGACUUCCGAGUUCCAAACCCCACUAGUGUCGUUCAAAUGCCACCCAAACCGGUGAAGGAACCACCCGCCGCGGUGGUGGCCCUGAGCGACAGCGACGGAGAGGACGCCGACACCGGCGUUAGCAUCGGGAACAGCGAAGCUUCCUCCGACAAAGCAGCCUCGGGGACCGGAGGACCUCUCAUGGGGCAACCGGAACUGCAGAGCUCCGCUGCAACAACCCCCGUCUCCGACCACCAACAGCACCAAUCCUUCGAGUCUCGAAGCUUCUGGAAGGCCGGCGAUUACGCCGUCGAUCCCUCCGCCAGGCCCACUCUUCUUCCCCACGAGCAAUUGGAACAUGCGCGUGUUCAUCCAAAGUUUCUUCAUUCCAAUGCGACUUCGCAUAAGUGGGCUUUUGGAGCCAUAGCUGAACUCUUGGAUAAUGCAAUUGACGAGAUACACAAUGGUGCAACUUUUGUGAAGGUUGAUAAAAUUGACGUUAUGAAGGAUAGUUCUCCAGCUUUACUCUUCCAAGAUGAUGGUGGUGGAAUGGAUCCACAAGGAAUUCGGAAAUGCAUGAGCUUAGGCUACUCUACAAAGAAGACAAACACGACUAUUGGGCAAUAUGGUAAUGGAUUUAAGACAAGUACCAUGCGGCUCGGUGCUGAUGUUAUUGUUUUCACUCGUGCGAAUUGUAAAGGCCAAGCUACUCAGAGUGUUGGUCUCUUGUCUUACACUUACUUGCGGAAAACUGGGUUGGACGAUGUUAUUGUUCCAAUGAUUGAUUUUGACAUUUCUUCCCACUGGGCAGAGCCUAUAAUUUAUGGUUCACAUGAUGAUUGGUCUUCUGAUUUGAAGACAAUCCUUGAGUGGUCUCCCUUUACGUCAAAAGAGGAGCUCAUGCUACAGUUUGAUGAUAUUGGAGCCCAUGGAACAAAAGUAAUAAUAUACAAUCUAUGGCUGAAUGAUGAAGGAAUAUAUGAGUUGAGUUUUGAUGAUGAUGAUGAGGAUAUACGGUUGAGAGACGAAGCUAAUUGUGCAAGUUCUUCAACUAAAUUUAGCAGGAAACAAGUUGAAUUACAGUCCCAUAUCUCUUACCGCAUCCGAUAUUCGUUAAGGGCAUAUGCCUCGAUGUUGUACCUCAAAAAGUUUAAAAACUUCAGUAUAAUACUAAGGGGAAAACCUGUGGAACAAUAUAAUAUAGCAGAUGAGUUGCAACAUGCUGUGAUUGUAAAAUACAAGCCCCAGCUAGCUACAACCUCUAAAGAGAUUACUGUGGAAACAAAACUUGGGUUUAUAAAAGAAGCACCUGCUAUUCUUGGAGUUAAUGGAUUCAAUGUCUACCUUAAGAAUCGCCUCAUCAAGCCAUUCUGGAAAGUCAUUGCUGACGGUUCUUCCAAAGGGAGUGGUGUUGUUGGAGUUCUUGAAGCAAACUUUUUAGAGCCGGCACAUGACAAGCAAGAUUUUGAGAGAUCACCAUUGUCUAUCCGGCUCGAAACUAAGCUGAAACAAAUGGUAACUGAAUAUUGGAAUAAACACUGUCACUUCAUGGGAUAUCAGACUCCUGGCACUAAGAAGCAAAAGAAUGAUCCUGUGCAGUCUCCUGUUCAAAUUGCAGCUAAUACUAGGAAGCAGUUGUCAGCCAAUCAACAUAACGCUGGUGUUUCAGGUGCUGUCCCAGGACACACGCAUCUGAAUCAAAGUAAUAGCGAACCAUGCAGAAGUGGCAAAAGACCUGACUUUCAUAGAGAUUUUUCUGCUGGAUCCUAUGAAGCAGUUAGCUUAGUGGUUCCCAUAGAUGAUGAAGAACCCUUAUCCGUUGAUCAGAUUUGCAAAGAAAACAUACAACUUCACGUGAGGUGCGAUGCAUAUGUAAUAAAACAGAGUGAGUUAAAACAAACGAUUGUCGGUUUAGAGAGACGGUUGGAGGAAUCAAAAAAGAAGUACGCUCAAGUUGCUACCUACUUGGAGAAUACAAAAAAGCAGAAUAGUUCCAACGUUUGAUGAGGCACAACUACAUACAUCCUGAACCGUUUCAUUGAUGUUCUUUUCCAAAUUGCGCUUUGAGAUUCUCUAUGAAAGUUUACUGUAGGGUUGCUUAUCAAGAUGUUUGUCUUCAUCAUGAGCUUUUGGACCUCGGUUAUUCUCUGUAAAAUUGCAUCUUGGAUAUCCGUGGGACCAUCUUACAAUGUAGUACCAAACAAAUUAGUUGUUUUUUAAUUGUAUUUUUCGUAGAUCGCAUAGUGACAACUAACAGCACAAUAGGAAAUGUAACAUACAUCUCUCUCUCUCUCUCUCUCUCUCUCUCUCUCUCCAUCUUCAGUUCUUGUUUUGUAAUUUUUGCCUCAAUUUUUUUACUUAUUUAACUAUCUUUUGUUUGAACAAGUUAAUG